rnacentral:rRNA from 1 species
CCUACGGGAGACAGCAGUGAGGAAUAUUGGUCAAUGGACGCAAGUCUGAACCAGCCAUGCCGCGUGCAGGAAGACGGCCCUAUGAGUUGUAAACUGCUUUUGUAUGAGGGUAAACUCCGAUAUGCGUACCUGUCUGCAUGUACCUUACGCAUAAGGAUCGGCUAACUCCGUGCCAGCAGCCGCGGUAAUACGGAGGAUUCAAGCGUUAUCCGGAUUUAUUGGGUUUAAAGGGUGCGUAGGCGGUCGGAUAAGUCAGAGGUGAAAUCCCGAGGCUCAACUUCGGAAUUGCCUCUGAUACUGGUCGGCUAGAGAGUAGUAGCGGUAGGCGGAAUGUAUGGUGUAGCGGUGAAAUGCUUAGAGAUCAUACAGAACACCGAUUGCGAAGGCAGCUU